CAGCCGCCGCGGUAAUACGUAGGGUGCGAGCGUUAAUCGGAAUUACUGGGCGUAAAGCGUGCGCAGGCGGUUGUGUAAGACAGGUGUGAAAUCCCCGGGCUUAACCUGGGAACUGCGCUUGUGACUGCACAGCUAGAGUAUGGCAGAGGGGGGUGGAAUUCCACGUGUAGCAGUGAAAUGCGUAGAGAUGUGGAGGAACACCGAUGGCGAAGGCAGCCCCCUGGGCCAAUACUGACGCUCAUGCACGAAAGCGUGGGGAGCAAACAGGAUUAGAUACCCCCGUAGUCCCUGUCUCUUAUAC
rnacentral:rRNA from 1 species